GGUUAUCGUUCAACAGAAACCUCUGCAUCCUUUACCUGUUAGAUAGCUAUAAAACCAUCGCUGUGAAGACGUACAACUUGCUCUGUUUUACCCUGUGUCUGGAACAGAAUAAUCUAGUGUGUAGAUACCAUGUGUUUUGUUAGUGACUAGCAUUUGCGUUGCAAUUAUGUGAUUGAAGUGUUUUCCCUACUCCUUUGAGACUCUCUCUGUAACAGGGAUCCUAACAGCAAUAAAAAGGGAGAACGGACACAUAUGUUUUCAGAACGGAAGAGAUGUGUGACUGAAAACAUAUCUCUGGCUGUUCUCCUCACUGUCAGGAUCUGCGGCUUCGGCAGUUCCUCUGGUUUCCUUCUAGGUGGCGUUCGAGAGCUUGCUGGCGUAUUCACACACCCUCUCCACAGGUGUGUUUCGGCACACCUGUGGAUCAUCAGCGGGAGCAUAUUAGGAGCGGGUUCCCGGCACUUUGUCGCCAGAGUGUUGUCGCCUUUGUGGCUCCUGUUGUCUGGACACUCCAUGCGAAGUACGAGAUUUGCAGUUCCAUCCGCGGAGCUCCCUGACGAGUUACGCCCACCUACCAGCUGUUCGAUCACACCGGUCCGCUCCUGAUCAGACGCUCCUGCAUUACACACCAAUUAUCUUUUGUAAAUAAAUCUUUAAUCUGA